UAUUGAUUUUCAGGUCACUAGGUCAGAGGUCAAGGUCAUGGUGACCCAAAGCAGUAAAAUGGUUUCCGGAUGAUAACUCAAGAACGCUUAUGCCUAGGAUCAUGAAACUUCAUAGAUACAUUGAUCAUGACUCGCAGAUAAUGCCUAUUGAUUUUCAGGUCACUAGGUCAAAGGUCAAGGUCAGCAUGACCCGAAAUAGUAGAAUGGUUUCCGGAUGAUAACUCAAGAACGCUUAGGCCUAGGAUCAUGAAACUUCAUAGGAACAUUGAUCAUAACUCGUAGACGACCCCUAUUGAUUUUCAGGUCACUAGGUCAAAGGUCAAGGUCACAAUGACCCGAAAUAGUAAAAUGGUUUCCGGAUGAUAACUCAAGAACGCUUAGGCCUAGGAUCAUGAAACUUCAUAGGUACAUUGAUCAUGACUCGAAGAUGACCCCUAUUGAUUUUCAGGUCACUAGGUCAAAGGUCAAGGUCAUGGUG